CCGGAAGUAGCAAACUAACACGUUCGAGUACUCCAUGAACUGCUUUCUUGCACAGCCAGGUGAGAGCAGGGCAGAUAGCACCCACAUGUCUUACAGCGCAAAUAUGCUGGUACUAGUUAAACUGCCUAGUUAAAUAAAAAAUAAAUAUAUAUUUGUAAUACUUCGCAAAAAAAUAGGCCCGUCCAAUCCAGUGACCUACCUAGCAUGCAUUGGUACUGAAUCUGUUCGAAUGACGGAGUGCGGGGCUGACUUCCUGCACCUCGACGUUAUGGACCGUCAUUCUGUACCCAACAUCAUGUUCGGUCAUCCCAUGGUGGAGUGCCUGAGGAACUGUGGGGCCAGACCCUUUUUGAUAUGCACGUGAUGGUAUCGGGGCCAGAGCAGUGGGUGAAACCCAUGGCAGGAGCCAAUCAGUACACAUUCCACCCGGAGGCCACCACCAAUGCUGGAAACCUCAUCAAGGAGAUCAGAGAGAGCGGCAUGAAAGUGAGGCCGUGUUGACUAUAGAGGGAGACGAGAGGUCCAGAUAUGGAAGAGAAAUGAAUCGUCAGAGAAAAUGGACGUAAAGCGUAAUUCACACACAAGUGGGCCAUAAAACCUGGGACUACAGUAGAGGAGUUGGCAACGUGGGCUGGACAGAUCAACAUGGCUCUGGUCAUGACUGUAGAGCCUGGCUUUGGAGGCCAGAAGUUCAUGGAGGACAUGAUGCCCAAGGUGAGCUGGCUGAGGAGUCAGUUUCCCUCUCUGGACAUUGUGGACGGACGAGUGGGUCCUUCUGCCAUCCAUAAGUGUGCGGAGGCGGAUGCUGACAUGAUCAUGCCGGACUGUGGUAAGCAGUGACGACCCUCGCUCGGUCAUCCCAGACAGACAGACAGACAGAACGGCUGAACAAGAUGUCAUAUUUUGAAGACAUUGUUUUUUUUUUGGGGGGGGGGCUAGUAUUUUGUCACUGCCCUGUUUUAAAAUGCUUGUUACUAUCUCCCUUGUCACAUGAUACAGAGGAUUCCUUGCCUCUUCUUGCUCUGCUCGGUUGGUUUGAAAAGUAGUUCACUACUCAGACACUAGAGGGCAAGCUUGCUCAAACUAUUCAUCCCUAUAGGUUUGUAUACCCUGGACUGUCAUUAUUUUAGUUUUUAUAUCCUCGUUUUCUGUACUGUCUUGUUUAGACUAAUUACUUAUUGAUAAUAAGUCAUGAAUAUUAUUGAUAAUAUUGAAUUAUAUAUGACUGACUACCAUAUGUGGCAUAGGAGAGUAUUAGUGAUCUAGCAGUUAUAUCUGAAUUUAAUAUGGGAUAUAAUGUUAGUACCUGCACAGGGAUUUAUUUAAUCAAAACUAAUAGUAACAUUACUGGAUAGAUAAAAAAACAACAGCAACCUCUCCUUGCACUAAUAGGAACCAUGUUUCCAUUUAAUACCAUUUAACUCUUUGACAAGAUUUACUCCAGUAAAUAAAUGUUUAUUGAAUAUUG